CAGGACGAACGCUGGCGGCGUGCCUAAUACAUGCAAGUCGAACGGUCUUUCUAUGGAAGCUUGCUUCCACUGAGAAGAUAGUGGCGAACGGGUGAGUAACACGUGGGUAACCUGCCCAUAAGAGGGGGGAUAACAUCCGGAAACGGGUGCUAAUACCGCAUAGUUUUCUUGAUCGCAUGAUCGGGAAAGGAAAGACGGCCUUUGUGCUGUCGCUUAUGGAUGGACCCGCGGCGUAUUAGUUAGUUGGUGAGGUAACGGCUCACCAAGACGAUGAUACGUAGCCGACCUGAGAGGGUGAUCGGCCACAUUGGGACUGAGACACGGCCCAAACUCCUACGGGAGGCAGCAGUAGGGAAUCUUCCGCAAUGGACGGAAGUCUGACGGAGCAACGCCGCGUGAGUGAAGAAAAGGGUUUUCGGAUCGUAAAACUCUGUUGUCAGAGAAGAACAAGUUGGAGAGUAACUGCUCCAGCCUUGACGGUAUCUGACCAGAAAGCCACGGCUAACUACGUGCCAGCCGCUGC
rnacentral:rRNA from 1 species